GGCCUGAUAGCUCAGGGGUUAAGAGCACUAGACAUGUAAUCCAGAUAUAGUGGUUGCUGGUCAAAUCCAGCUCAGGUCA